UCGAACGGGAUCCCUGGCAGCUUGCUGUCGGGGUGAGAGUGGCGAACGGGUGAGUAAUGCGUGACCAACCUGCCCUGUGCACCGGAAUAGCUCCUGGAAACGGGUGGUAAUACCGGAUGCUCCGCUCCAUCGCAUGGUGGGGUGGGAAAUGCUUUUGCGGCAUGGGAUGGGGUCGCGUCCUAUCAGCUUGUUGGCGGGGUGAUGGCCCACCAAGGCGUUGACGGGUAGCCGGCCUGAGAGGGUGACCGGCCACAUUGGGACUGAGAUACGGCCCAGACUCCUACGGGAGGCAGCAGUGGGGAAUAUUGCACAAUGGGCGCAAGCCUGAUGCAGCGACGCCGCGUGCGGGAUGGAGGCCUUCGGGUUGUAAACCGCUUUUGUUCAAGGGCAAGGCACGGUUUCGGCCGUGUUGAGUGGAUUGUUCGAAUAAGCACCGGCUAACUACGUGCCAGCAGCCGCGGUAAUACGUAGGGUGCGAGCGUUAUCCGGAUUUAUUGGGCGUAAAGGGCUCGUAGGCGGUUCGUCGCGUCCGGUGUGAAAGUCCAUCGCCUAACGGUGGAUCUGCGCCGGGUACGGGCGGGCUGGAGUGCGGUAGGGGAGACUGGAAUUCCCGGUGUAACGGUGGAAUGUGUAGAUAUCGGGAAGAACACCAAUG
rnacentral:rRNA from 1 species